rnacentral:rRNA from 1 species
GAUGAACGCUAGCGGGAGGCUUAAUACAUGCAAGUCGAGCGGCAAGGUCUUCGGACCCUAGAGCGGCGCACGGGUGAGUAACGCGUACGCAAUCUGCCCUUCAGUGAGGAAUAGCCCUGGGAAACUGGGAUUAAUACCCCAUAAUAUUAUUCUGCUGCAUGGUAGAAUAAUUAAAGUUCUGGCGCUGAAGGAUGAGCGUGCGUCUGAAUAGCUAGUUGGUAGGGUAACGGCCUACCAAGGCGACGAUCAGUAGGGGGCGUGAGAGCGUGACCCCCCACACGGGUACUGAGACACGGACCCGACUCCUACGGGAGGCAGCAGUAAGGAAUAUUGGGCAAUGGAGGCAACUCUGACCCAGCCAUCCCGCGUGAAGGAUUAAGGCCCUAUGGGUUGUAAACUUCUUUUGUUUGGGAAGAAAUCAGGACAUUUAUGUGCUGUUGACGGUACCUUACGAAUAAGCACCGGCUAACUCCGUGCCAGCCGCCGCUGUAACAC